GUCACUUCCCGUGUUUCGCUGUCGCUGGGGUAGCAUUCAUCUCGCGCUCAUAGUGACGUAGCACGCGUCAUCACGAGUUGUACUAUCGACUGUUCUGUGCGUCUUGAAUCUGCAUUGUUAUUUGCUUAUAAGCCUAUGCCUUCAUUGUCCUCUUGAUUUUCCUAUUGUCCGGUGUUGCUAGCGUGUACGUCGUUCUGAACAUGGGCUCUAACGGAAAUGAGAGAACUUUCGAACAGAUCCAUGAAGAUGGUCUGAAAGAUUUCAUUAUCUUUCUUAGUUGAUUUGCAACGCCAAGACAAAAUUAAAUGGAACUAGAUGGUUUAAUGUUUCUAGCAGCAUUCAGAAUUAUCUUCAGAACCACUCCAAUUUCUCAGUUUAACGUUUCUGCGCACAUGAAUUAUGUACAAUUCAUUGGAUUUUAUAAAAAAUACUAAACACUUUAAUUUCUUCAUAUUUCACGUUUUUACCCACGUGAUUUAUUGAAUAUUAGUGGGAUUGAAAACAUGACUAGACCCUUUUUUAACUUUCGUUAUGGUUGUGAUUCGUUUAUUCAGAUAUUCGUUACGUUCACGAAACACACAAUAACAUCCCACAUUCUUUGGAUUGCGGCUUAAUAAUUAAUUACUGCACUUUUCUGUCCACACGAUUUAUCCAUGAUUCGUCGGAUUUAAAAAGAAUGACAAGCUUUUUUUUAUUUCGUUAUGGCUCCUUCGCUCAGACAUUAAUUAUGUUCAUGAAAUACACUAUAACAUCGCAAAUUGUUGGGAUUACAUUUAACAAUUCAUUCAGCUGGGAUGAGCAUAUCACAACUCCUGCCACUUCGUUUGUACACAUGUAUUUACAUUUAGCUUUGACGUUAUUGGUACAUCUGGAAAGGUCGAUAUACGUAAUCAUUUAGUAGAUUUAGGUUAUUCACGUCACGAUGACGUAGCGUUACGUCAUUAUGACGUAGGGUUCUCCUCACCUAGCGUGAGAUGAAUGCUACCCCUGUCGCUGUGGAACAUUGAUUAUUGAUUUUCUGUUGGGAACGUCGGUAGUCCACCAACAGUGAUGCAAACCCAGUGUAAACGCGCCGUAUGUCGAAGCGAAAGGUACAUUUUCGAGAAAAAUGUAUUGAUGCGUUUCCAAGUAUUAAACGUGGAAGAAACGAACAUGAGGCUAUUUGCAAAGUGUGUGGGUUCACGGCUUAAUGAGACCGUGCAGCCUUUGCAGCUGGCCUCUGGUGCGACCAGAGCACCCCAGGAGGAUGAUGCAUCCUCGCCCUCGCCGUCCCCACUUGCUGCCGACCCCGUGGACUUGGACCCACCAUUGCCAUCGCAGUCAGCGCCCCGGCACGUGCCCUCGGGUCUGGACGGGUGUCCUGGCAGCAGUUUUCCGGAUGGUGGGGUAUGGUUGGUAUUCCACCGUCCUCCACCGUCACGGCUCCCAGCCCAUCACAAUGUCCAGCAUCCUGCCUCCCUCCUCCCCAUUGUUGUUCGGAGCCUCACUACACGAGAACAGUGUGGCAUUUCUGGGGGUGGGGGGGGGGGGGGGGGGGUUGAUGUGCUGGUGUAUACUGGUGCCAGAAAACCAUGCGGCAUAGAGGUUACAAGAGUAUCGAUAGAGGCCAAUGGCAAGACUCACAAGGAACAUGCCGCCAGUGCCUUUUCAUCCACCAUCAUUUAGGUUCGCCGUUGCAGACUGGAGGGCCAGUUUAAACAGUUACUUUAAGCCUGCUACACCACUUACUUCAAGUCUGUAUGCCUUGGAACUGCAGCAUGUCACCAAGAUGGAGCCGCAGACUUAGCCUGUAGCACAGAGACAGGCAGCACAUAGAAACUUUAUAGUGGUGGUAGCAGGCUUCUACUUCUACAGCAAUUAGGAUAUGAGGACUAUACAGAAGAGAGCUUGUACCACAGCACAUUAAAAAGCUUAUUAAUUGUGUUUCAUUGUGAAACAACCAAUAGUUUAAAGCAGUAUUUUCUGGACUUCACACAUCGCAAUAUUUCCUUCACUGAAUGUUACAACUAAGUCAAGGACAUAAAAAUGCAGUGUAUUAAUUGACACUGGUGCCAGCACACCAUGUGGCAUAGAGAUUAUGAGAGAAUCAAUGACAAGAUACACUGGAAACAUGCCACUAACUCCCUCUCAACCACCUCAGAACCUUCUUUAAAAGAAUAAUAUACAAAAUACCAGUAGAAAUAACAACAGAACCCAAUGUGAAGACACCAAAAUCCUGUUAACAUCAAACAUUAUGGUGUAAUUAUGAAUUAAUUGAUGCAAAUAGUCACUGUAUUGUUAUCAAUGUAUGUCUCAUGAAAUUUUAAUGCAAGAACUGAAUUAUUUCAACAUAGUAAUUACUUCAGGGAUGUUACAAUUUAUCAAGCUAAAAGCUGUAACCAGUUUUAUGACAACACACAAAUUUCAUUUGUAAGUUAAAUUAUGUGCAGUUUGAACAAUAUGUAGAACAUUCUGUGAUUGUUGGAUGUUAUAUAAGGAGUAGCAGCAGUAGCCAUGGUAAGUUAGUUAUGUGUUAGUUUUUUGUCAGUAUUUAGUCAGUUUUAGUGCAGUAUUAGACCCAUAUUGUGUUAGUCGUGGAUAAUAUUUGGUGUAUGUCUUUUUAGAAAUAAACUGGUGAAUGACUAA